UUUCCCAACUUCGGUUAUAAGAUCCCUCGAAGAUGACGAGGUUAAUAGGUUCGAGGUGGAAGCGUGGUGACACGUGGAGCUGACGAAUACUAAUCGAUCGAAGACUUAAUCAAUUU
rnacentral:rRNA from 1 species